UACGAAGGGGGCUAGCGUUGUUCGGAAUCACUGGGCGUAAAGCGCACGUAGGCGGGCGUGUCAGUCAGGGGUGAAAUCCUGGAGCUCAACUCCAGAACUGCCUUUGAUACUGAAGAUCUUGAGUUCGGGAGAGGUGAGUGGAACUGCGAGUGUAGAGGUGAAAUUCGUAGAUAUUCGCAAGAACACCAGUGGCGAAGGCGGCUCACUGGCCCGAUACUGACGCUGAGGCACGAAAGCGUGGGGAGCAAACAGG
rnacentral:rRNA from 1 species